CGAGCGCUGGACGUCACAGUUACACGCUGACGGGAAAACAGGAAAAAAUGUUACUGCUGGAUCACAUCUGGAAAACCGUCACAGCACAAAAAGUGUAAUUAAAAGGCGUCGGUGGGCUGCCUGUGGUAGAAACCUCUCACGCAGUCCUCACAGUGCCGUCCCUUCGUGUUGUUCACGCACUUCAGGCAUUCGCCGCUGUUGCGGUCGCAGCUUCCCAGCACUCUGACGUCGAUGUGACCAUUACAGUGGCAGGGUGUGCAGGGACGCUGCACACCUCCGGUACCCAGGGGGUCGCCAUAAUAACCUUCCUGACAAACGUCACAGCGAGGACCUGAGGACAGAGACACACAGUCAGAGGUUCCUGAUGGGCACCUCUCGCAGCGAGGCUCCAGAGAACCUGGACCCAGUGAGCAGGACACGCCGUCCGCGCAGGGACACCUCACGCAGGUCUCCGGCCACCUCGGGUCUCUGUAGAAGCCCUGGGAAC